rnacentral:rRNA from 1 species
GAUGAACGCUAGCGGCAGGCUUAAUACAUGCAAGUCGAGGGGCAGCAGCUUUAUAGCAAUAUAGAGGCUGGCGACCGGCAAACGGGUGCGGAACACGUACACAACCUUCCUUUAAGAGGGGGAUAGCCCAUAGAAAUGUGGAUUAAUACCCCGUAACAUAUCGGUGUGGCAUCACACUGUUAUUAUAGUUUCGACGCUUGAAGAUGGGUGUGCGGCUGAUUAGGUAGUUGGCGGGGUAAAGGCCCACCAAGCCUUCGAUCAGUAGCUGAUGUGAGAGCAUGAUCAGCCACACGGGCACUGAGACACGGGCCCGACUCCUACGGGAGGCAGCAGUAAGGAAUAUUGGUCAAGGGGCGGAAGCCUGAACCAGCCAAGUAGCGUGCAGGAUGACGGCCCUAUGGGUUGUAAGCUGCUUUUAUACAGGAAUAAAGUUAGCCACGUGUGGUUAUUUGUAGGUACUGUAUGAAUAAGGACCGGCUAAUUCCGUGCCAGCCGCCGCCGUAA